AGAGUUUGAUCCUGGCUCAGAAUGAACGUUGGCGGCGUGGAUUAGGCAUGCAAGUCGAACGCGAACGAACCGCAAGGGACUAGUAGCGUGGCGAAAGGGGCAGUAAUGCAUAAGCAAUCUACCUUCAGGUCUGGGAUAUACGGUGGAAACGCCGAGCAAGACUAGACGCCGUUAUUGAUCGGCAUCGAUCGAUAAUGAAAGGCAACGCCUGAAGAGGGGCUUAUGUCCUAUCAGCUAGUUGGUAAGGUAACGGCUUACCAAGGCGAUGACGGGUAGGGGGUGUGAGAGCACGACCCCCGCCACUGGCACUGAGACACUGGCCAGACUCCUACGGGAGGCUGCAGUCGAGAAUCUUCGGCAAUGGGCGCAAGCCUGACCGAGCGACGCCGCGUGGUGGAAGAAGGCCUUCGGGUUGUAAACACCUGUUGGGGGGAAUCAAUAAUGAGAGAACCCCUGAGGAAGCACGGGCUAAGUUCGUGCCAGCAGCCGCGGUAAGACGAACCGUGCGAACGUUAUUCGGAAUCAUUGGGCUUAAAGGGCGCGUAGGCGGCGCUGUAAGUUAGGGGUGAAAUACCAUCGGCUCAACCGUGGAAUUGCCUUUAAUACUGCAGUGCUUGAGGGAGGUAGGGGCAUGCGGAACUUCCAGUGGAGCGGUGAAAUGUGUUGAGAUUGGAAGGAACGCCAGUGGCGAAAGCGGCAUGCUGGAACUCUUCUGACGCUGAGGCGCGAAAGCUAGGGUAGCGAACGGGAUUAGAUACCCUGGUAGUCCAA
rnacentral:rRNA from 1 species